rnacentral:rRNA from 1 species
AGUAACGCGUGGGGAACCGUACCCUAUACAGGGGGAGUAACAGCUGGAAACGGCUGCUAAUACCGCAUAAGCGCACAGAAUCGCAUGAUUCAGUGUGAAAAGCCCUGGCAGUAUAGGAUGGUCCCGCGUCUGAUUAGCUGGUUGGUGAGGUAACGGCUCACCAAGGCGACGACCAGUAGCCGGCUUGAGAGAGUGAACGGCCACAUUGGGACUGAGACACGGCCCAA